rnacentral:tRNA from 1 species
UUAAAUGUAGUUUAAAAAAAACAUUAUAUUUUCAUUAUAAAAAUAAUUUAAUUUUAAUUUAUUUAAA